UGAAUGGAAGCCUUGUGUGUGGCCCUGUGAUGCUGACUCACCAAGACUCAGGAGAGGGAAAACAUGCAGGGGAUGAAGAAGGGGCCUGUGUGUGCUUUGCCACCACCCCCAAUCCACCCUGCCACCCCGAAUCCCUUUGGGUCAGAGGUUUUCUGAGGACCCCCUGCAUGUUCUGAGGACUUGAGUUCUUUCUGUACCUGUCUGAUCUCAUCUUCAAACCAGUACAAGCCAACUGAAUCAUAAAGCAAACACAGGCAGAUAAUGCUUUCAAGAGAGAAGACAUGUUUGCUACUGGGUGUGGCGACACAGCCCUGUUAUCCCAGUUUCAUGGAUGGUGGAGGAUCAGAGUUAAAGACCAGCUUGUGAUUUCAUUCUGCUGCAAAACUUGUACAGAACGAGCAACCAUUUCUUAUUCAAGUAAAAGCAAUCAGAAUCAG